UUGAGUUAUAUAGUCAGUUGACGAUGCUGUGUCAAUUUCUGGUGCACAGCACAGUGCUUCGGUCAUACGUGAACAUCCAUACAUUCAUUUUCAUAUUCUUUUCCACCGUGAGCCACCACAAGAUCUUGUAUAUAUUUCCCUGUGCUCUACAGUGUAAUCCUGUUUAUCUAUUCUAUAUACACCUGUCAGUAUGUACAGAUCUGAACUCCCGGUUUAUCGCUUCCCACCCCCGGCCCGACCCUGCCGCCUGUUUGAAUGUUAAUCCAGCCUCACGGUCUCUGCCUUUGCUGCUCAGCCUCUAAUGAGACCCCAGUUCUUCUCAGCGACCCCAGCACCUCUCUGCUCCUCCGGCCCUCGUGCUGUUUAUUUUUAUCCCCUGUGCCCCUCGAAAUAACCUCUCCCUCACCAGUUUAUAAACUCUGCCUUUAGCUGUGUCGAAUUGGCUGUUAAAACGACCCACUGGGUUUUCCAUUUUGGUUAUUUUACUUUAUUUUUUAAAAAAUUCUCGAGUCCUUGGUGGGGACUGUUUCCUUUUCCCCGCACACAUCCGUAAGUCUGUCUGGAAGCUUUCAGCACCGUCACCGGAAGCUUUGACCGUUUCUGUGUGAUCAUCCAGGCCCACAAGUCUUUGCCCCCUUCUCUGCCCCAGCGUGCUCCUGCCGGUUCUCCGUCCUGGGCUCCAGUCUCCACGUCUGCCGGGUUGGCUCUGUCUGCAUCACUUGCAGAAAUAACAGGGGCAGAGCGAGUCCAAAUUCCCCGGAGGAGGCCCCUCGGGCAGCCCCGCUGUGGACGCGGAUGCCACGUGGGUACCAAGCAAAAUUGUUGCUGGAGCUGCGAAGGGUGUUUGCUCAGAACCUUCCCACCCCCACCGGCAGCAGGCGUGAACAUAAAUCGUUAAGUCAAAGGGUCCAGAGAUAAGAAAGGGUGACACAGACAGGAGCCCAGGUGGAAACAGCUGGGAGCAAGGUGGGGGAUGACGCUGACCUCCGAUAGACCGAAUCUCAUCAGAUGCUGAUGUGGUUACAUAUUAAAUGACACACCCACCGCUGGCCGGACCGGACCUUAAGGGCCGAGACAGGAUAACCAGCAGGUGGGGUGGCCCCUCACUCCUUUGAAAAAGCCCUGCCCCUCCGCAUCCUCAGCCUCACUCCUCUGCCCUCGGCUUCCACUCUUUACAAUUAAAUCCCUCUCGCCACGUGGGCGAGAGGUUGUCCGGGAACUUGGUCCUCACUCCAGCCUUGGCCGCUGAAUAAAGCUCGUGCUGUUUCCAUCUCA